CAGUAGCCGCGGUAAUACGGAGGGUGCAAGCGUUAAUCGGAAUUACUGGGCGUAAAGCGCACGCAGGCGGUCUGACAAGUCAGAUGUGAAAUCCCCGGGCUUAACCUGGGAACUGCAUUUGAAACUGUCAGGCUGGAGUCUUGUAGAGGGGGGUAGAAUUCCAGGUGUAGCGGUGAAAUGCGUAGAGAUCUGGAGGAAUACCGGUGGCGAAGGCGGUUCUCUGGCAAUGUUCUGACGCUGAGGAGCGAAAGUGUGGGGAGCGAACAGGAUUAGAUACCCGAGUAGUCCCUGUCUCUUAUAA
rnacentral:rRNA from 1 species